GAUGAACGCUGGCUACAGGCUUAACACAUGCAAGUCGAGGGGAAACGACGGGGAAGCUUGCUUCCCCGGGCGUCGACCGGCGCACGGGUGAGUAACGCGUAUCCAACCUGCCUCUGACUGAGGGAUAACCCGUCGAAAGUCGGCCUAAUACCUCAUGGCAUCGUCUGCGGGCAUCCAACGACGAUUAAAGAUUUCAGCGUUCAGGGAUGGGGAUGCGUCUGAUUAGCUAGGUGGCGGGGUAACGGCCCACCAAGGCGACGAUCAGUAGGGGUUCUGAGAGGAAGGUCCCCCACAUUGGAACUGAGACACGGUCCAAACACCUACGGGAGGCAGCAGUGAGGAAUAUUGGUCAAUGGGAGAGAGCCUGAACCAGCCAAGUAGCGUGCAGGAUGACGGCCCUAUGGGUUGUAAACUGCUUUUAUGAGGGGAUAAAGUGAGGGACGUGUCCUUCAUUGCAGGUACCGCAUGAAUAAGGACCGGCUAAUUCCGUG
rnacentral:rRNA from 1 species